AGUCGAGGGGUAACAGGAAGUGCUUGCACUUCGCUGACGACCGGCGCACGGGUGAGUAUCGCGUAUACAAUCUGCCUCAUACUAGGGAAUAGCCCGAAGAAAUUUGGAUUAAUGCCCUAUAGUAUCUUUUUAAGGCAUCUUAUUAAGAUUAAAGGCUACGGUAUGAGAUGAGUAUGCGUUCUAUUAGCUAGUAGGUGUGGUAACGGCACACCUAGGCUACGAUAGAUAGGGGCCCUGAGAGGGGGAUCCCCCACACUGGUACUGAGACACGGACCAGACUCCUACGGGAGGCAGCAGUAAGGAAUAUUGGUCAAUGGACGAAAGUCUGAACCAGCCAUGCCGCGUGCAGGAUGACUGCCCUAUGGGUUGUAAACUGCUUUUAUAUAGGAAGAAAAACUUUCUCGUGAGAAAGCUUGACGGUACUAUAAGAAUAAGGAUCG
rnacentral:rRNA from 1 species